GGGACACGUGGUAUCCUGUCUGAAUAUGGGGGGACCAUCCUCCAAGGCUAAAUACUCCUGACUGACCGAUAGUGAACCAGUACCGUGAGGGAAAGGCGAAAAGAACCCCGGCGAGGGGAGUGAAAAAGAACCUGAAACCGUGUACGUACAAGCAGUGGGAGCACGCUUAGGCGUGUGACUGCGUACCUUUUGUAUAAUGGGUCAGCGACUUAUAUUCUGUAGCAAGGUUAACCGAAUAGGGGAGCCGAAGGGAAACCGAGUCUUAACUGGGCGUUAAGUUGCAGGGUAUAGACCCGAAACCCGGUGAUCUAGCCAUGGGCAGGUUGAAGGUUGGGUAACACUAACUGGAGGACCGAACCGACUAAUGUUGAAAAAUUAGCGGAUGACUUGUGGCUGGGGGUGAAAGGCCAAUCAAACCGGGAGAUAGCUGGUUCUCCCCGAAAGCUAUUUAGGUAGCGCCUCGUGAAUUCAUCUCCGGGGGUAGAGCACUGUUUCGGCAAGGGGGUCAUCCCGACUUACCAACCCGAUGCAAACUGCGAAUACCGGAGAAUGUUAUCACGGGAGACACACGGCGGGUGCUAACGUCCGUCGUGAAGAGGGAAACAACCCAGACCGCCAGCUAAGGUCCCAAAGUCAUGGUUAAGUGGGAAACGAUGUGGGAAGGCCCAGACAGCCAGGAUGUUGGCUUAGAAGCAGCCAUCAUUUAAAGAAAGCGUAAUAGCUCACUGGUCGAGUCGGCCUGCGCGGAAGAUGUAACGGGGCUAAACCAUGCACCGAAGCUGCGGCAGCGACGCUUAUGCGUUGUUGGGUAGGGGAGCGUUCUGUAAGCCUGUGAAGGUGUGCUGUGAGGCAUGCUGGAGGUAUCAGAAGUGCGAAUGCUGACAUAAGUAACGAUAAAGCGGGUGAAAAGCCCGCUCGCCGGAAGACCAAGGGUUCCUGUCCAACGUUAAUCGGGGCAGGGUGAGUCGACCCCUAAGGCGAGGCCGAAAGGCGUAGUCGAUGGGAAACAGGUUAAUAUUCCUGUACUUGGUGUUACUGCGAAGGGGGGACGGAGAAGGCUAUGUUGGCCGGGCGACGGUUGUCCCGGUUUAAGCGUGUAGGCUGGUUUUCCAGGCAAAUCCGGAAAAUCAAGGCUGAGGCGUGAUGACGAGGCACUACGGUGCUGAAGCAACAAAUGCCCUGCUUCCAGGAAAAGCCUCUAAGCAUCAGGUAACAUCAAAUCGUACCCCAAACCGACACAGGUGGUCAGGUAGAGAAUACCAAGGCGCUUGAGAGAACUCGGGUGAAGGAACUAGGCAAAAUGGUGCCGUAACUUCGGGAGAAGGCACGCUGAUAUGUAGGUGAAGUCCCUCGCGGAUGGAGCUGAAAUCAGUCGAAGAUACCAGCUGGCUGCAACUGUUUAUUAAAAACACAGCACUGUGCAAACACGAAAGUGGAC
rnacentral:rRNA from 1 species